rnacentral:rRNA from 1 species
CUUGCUUCUCUUGAGAGCGGCGGACGGGUGAGUAAUGCCUAGGAAUCUGCCUGGUAGUGGGGGAUAACGUUCGGAAACGGACGCUAAUACCGCAUACGUCCUACGGGAGAAAGCAGGGGACCUUCGGGCCUUGCGCUAUCAGAUGAGCCUAGGUCGGAUUAGCUAGUUGGUGGGGUAAUGGCUCACCAAGGCGACGAUCCGUAACUGGUCUGAGAGGGUGAUCAGUCACACUGGAACUGAGACACGGUCCAGACUCCUACGGGAGGCAGCAGUGGGGAAUAUUGGACAAUGGGCGAAAGCCUGAUCCAGCCAUGCCGCGUGUGUGAAGAAGGUCUUCGGAUUGUAAAGCACUUUAAGUUGGGAGGAAGGGUUGUAGAUUAAUACUCUGCAAUUUUGACGUUACCGACAGAAUAAGCACCGGCUAACUCUGUGCCAGCAGCCGCGGUAAUACAGAGGGUGCAAGCGUUAAUCGGAAUUACUGGGCGUAAAGCGCGCGUAGGUGGUUUGUUAAGUUGGAUGUGAAAUCCCCGGGCUCAACCUGGGAACUGCAUUCAAAACUGACUGACUAGAGUAUGGUAGAGGGUGGUGGAAUUUCCUGUGUAGCGGUGAAAUGCGUAGAUAUAGGAAGGAACACCAGUGGCGAAGGCGACCACCUGGACUAAUACUGACACUGAGGUGCGAAAGCGUG